rnacentral:rRNA from 1 species
CAAUAGCGUAUACUAAAGUUGUUGCGGUUAAAAAGCUCGUAGUUGGAUCUUGGAGCGUGUGCUUGCGGUCAUGCCUAUGGUGUGCACUGCUUGACGUGUUCUUCUAUUUGGUUGCGCGUGUGUGUUGCAUUAGUUUGUUGCCACACUCGACCGAAACGUUUACCUUGAAAAAUUAGAGUGUUCAAAGCAGACCUGUUUGUGUCUGAAUAUUCGUGCAUGGAAUAAUGAAAUAUGAAUUCGGUUCUAUUUUGUUGGUUUUCGGAACUCGAGUUAAUGAUUAAGAGGGACAGACGGGGGUAUUAGUACUCUGCCGUUAGAGGUGAAAUUCUUGGAUCGGCGGAAGACUCGCAACUGCGAAAGCAUUUGCCAAGAAUGUUUUCUUUAAUCAAGAACGAUAGUCGGAGGUUCGAAGACGAUCAGAUACCAU